UACGGGGGGAGCAAGCGUUGUUCGGAUUUACUGGGCGUAAAGGGCUCGUAGGCGGCCAACUAAGUCAGACGUGAAAUCCCCAGGCUCAACCUGGGAACUGCGUCUGAUACUGGAUGGCUUGAAUCCGGGAGAGGGAUGCAGAAUUCCAGGUGUAGCGGUGAAAUGCGUAGAUAUCUGGAGGAAUACCGGUGGCGAAGGCGGCAUCCUGGACCGGCAUUGACGCUGAGGAGCGAAAGCCAGGGGAGCAAACGGG
rnacentral:rRNA from 1 species